rnacentral:lncRNA from 1 species
CUUGAGCAUCACCAGAGUAGAAUUGACCCACACUCGAUAGGAUCAAGUUCUUCCCACCUCAAAAAAAUUAGUGUGGACAUCAGAGCCAUCAGAAAUCAGCGACAUGAUGUAGAUUCGAUUUAGAUCGAAGAAGCUCCAUUAGAUUGAUUCUACUUCAGUUAUUUAUUUUUAGUUAAUAAAUUUUUAAUGCAUUUAGCUUGGAAUCCAUAGGACC